rnacentral:rRNA from 1 species
GGGUUGUGAGGUUAAGCGACUAAGCGUACACGGUGGAUGCCCUGGCAGUCAGAGGCGAUGAAGGACGUGCUAAUCUGCGAUAAGCGUCGGUAAGGUGAUAUGAACCGUUAUAACCGGCGAUUUCCGAAUGGGGAAACCCAGUGUGAUUCGUCACACUAUCAUUAACUGAAUCCAUAGGUUAAUGAGGCGAACCGGGGGAACUGAAACAUCUAAGUACCCCGAGGAAAAGAAAUCAACCGAGAUUCCCCCAGUAGCGGCGAGCGAACGGGGAGGAGCCCAGAGCCUGAAUCAGUGUGUGUGUUAGUGGAAGCGUCUGGAAAGGCGCGCGAUACAGGGUGACAGCCCCGUACACAAAAAUGCACAUACUGUGAGCUCGAUGAGUAGGGCGGGACACGUGGUAUCCUGUCUGAAUAUGGGGGGACCAUCCUCCAAGGCUAAAUACUCCUGACUGACCGAUAGUGAACCAGUACCGUGAGGGAAAGGCGAAAAGAACCCCGGCGAGGGGAGUGAAAAAGAACCUGAAACCGUGUACGUACAAGCAGUGGGAGCCUCUUUAUGGGGUGACUGCGUACCUUUUGUAUAAUGGGUCAGCGACUUAUAUUCUGUAGCAAGGUUAACCGAAUAGGGGAGCCGAAGGGAAACCGAGUCUUAACUGGGCGUUAAGUUGCAGGGUAUAGACCCGAAACCCGGUGAUCUAGCCAUGGGCAGGUUGAAGGUUGGGUAACACUAACUGGAGGACCGAACCGACUAAUGUUGAAAAAUUAGCGGAUGACUUGUGGCUGGGGGUGAAAGGCCAAUCAAACCGGGAGAUAGCUGGUUCUCCCCGAAAGCUAUUUAGGUAGCGCCUCGUGAAUUCAUCUCCGGGGGUAGAGCACUGUUUCGGCAAGGGGGUCAUCCCGACUUACCAACCCGAUGCAAACUGCGAAUACCGGAGAAUGUUAUCACGGGAGACACACGGCGGGUGCUAACGUCCGUCGUGAAGAGGGAAACAACCCAGACCGCCAGCUAAGGUCCCAAAGUCAUGGUUAAGUGGGAAACGAUGUGGGAAGGCCCAGACAGCCAGGAUGUUGGCUUAGAAGCAGCCAUCAUUUAAAGAAAGCGUAAUAGCUCACUGGUCGAGUCGGCCUGCGCGGAAGAUGUAACGGGGCUAAACCAUGCACCGAAGCUGCGGCAGCGACACUAUGUGUUGUUGGGUAGGGGAGCGUUCUGUAAGCCUGCGAAGGUGGCCUGUGAGGGUUGCUGGAGGUAUCAGAAGUGCGAAUGCUGACAUAAGUAACGAUAAAGCGGGUGAAAAGCCCGCUCGCCGGAAGACCAAGGGUUCCUGUCCAACGUUAAUCGGGGCAGGGUGAGUCGACCCCUAAGGCGAGGCCGAAAGGCGUAGUCGAUGGGAAACAGGUUAAUAUUCCUGUACUUGGUGUUACUGCGAAGGGGGGACGGAGAAGGCUAUGUUGGCCGGGCGACGGUUGUCCCGGUUUAAGCGUGUAGGCUGAUUUUCCAGGCAAAUCCGGAAAAUCAAGGCUGAGGCGUGAUGACGAGGCACUACGGUGCUGAAGCAACAAAUGCCCUGCUUCCAGGAAAAGCCUCUAAGCAUCAGGUAACAUCAAAUCGUACCCCAAACCGACACAGGUGGUCAGGUAGAGAAUACCAAGGCGCUUGAGAGAACUCGGGUGAAGGAACUAGGCAAAAUGGUGCCGUAACUUCGGGAGAAGGCACGCUGAUAUGUAGGUGAAGUCCCUCGCGGAUGGAGCUGAAAUCAGUCGAAGAUACCAGCUGGCUGCAACUGUUUAUUAAAAACACAGCACUGUGCAAACACGAAAGUGGACGUAUACGGUGUGACGCCUGCCCGGUGCCGGAAGGUUAAUUGAUGGGGUUAGCGGUAACGCGAAGCUCUUGAUCGAAGCCCCGGUAAACGGCGGCCGUAACUAUAACGGUCCUAAGGUAGCGAAAUUCCUUGUCGGGUAAGUUCCGACCUGCACGAAUGGCGUAAUGAUGGCCAGGCUGUCUCCACCCGAGACUCAGUGAAAUUGAACUCGCUGUGAAGAUGCAGUGUACCCGCGGCAAGACGGAAAGACCCCGUGAACCUUUACUAUAGCUUGACACUGAACAUUGAGCCUUGAUGUGUAGGAUAGGUGGGAGGCUUUGAAGUGUGGACGCCAGUCUGCAUGGAGCCGACCUUGAAAUACCACCCUUUAAUGUUUGAUGUUCUAACGUUGGCCCCUGAUCGGGGUUGCGGACAGUGUCUGGUGGGUAGUUUGACUGGGGCGGUCUCCUCCUAAAGAGUAACGGAGGAGCACGAAGGUUGGCUAAUCCUGGUCGGACAUCAGGAGGUUAGUGCAAUGGCAUAAGCCAGCUUGACUGCGAGCGUGACGGCGCGAGCAGGUGCGAAAGCAGGUCAUAGUGAUCCGGUGGUUCUGAAUGGAAGGGCCAUCGCUCAACGGAUAAAAGGUACUCCGGGGAUAACAGGCUGAUACCGCCCAAGAGUUCAUAUCGACGGCGGUGUUUGGCACCUCGAUGUCGGCUCAUCACAUCCUGGGGCUGAAGUAGGUCCCAAGGGUAUGGCUGUUCGCCAUUUAAAGUGGUACGCGAGCUGGGUUUAGAACGUCGUGAGACAGUUCGGUCCCUAUCUGCCGUGGGCGCUGGAGAACUGAGGGGGGCUGCUCCUAGUACGAGAGGACCGGAGUGGACGCAUCACUGGUGUUCGGGUUGUCAUGCCAAUGGCACUGCCCGGUAGCUAAAUGCGGAAGAGAUAAGUGCUGAAAGCAUCUAAGCACGAAACUUGCCCCGAGAUGAGUUCUCCCUGACUCCUUGAGAGUCCUGAAGGAACGUUGAAGACGACGACGUUGAUAGGCCGGGUGUGUAAGCGCAGCGAUGCGUUGAGCUAACCGGUACUAAUGAACCGUGAGGCUUAACCUUACAACGCCGAAG